UCUACUGUUGGUACACUAGACUAUAUUGCUCCAGAGGUUCUACUUAAGAAGGGUUAUGGAAUGGAGUGUGAUUGUGGGAUCAAAUUAUACAAUGCAUCAAGGGGUAUUUCAAAAGGACCUGAUUUUAAACAAUUGACGGGUAAUCUAAAAUAAAAAGGUGGUAUUGAAUGUGGAUAUUGUGAAAUGUGGUAUAUGAAAGAGAUAGUUUUGGAUGAAUAUCCUCAAUUGGAGAUGAAG